GGCCUGGUUAGGUGGUUCACCCAUUGGGUGCUACUGCUUCGGCCAGGCCUAACCUUCUGGAGAGCCAGUUCGUUCUUUACUGGGCGGGCUGGGGAUCCAGGACUAUUACUUUGAAAAAAUCAGAGUGUUCAAAGCAGGCUUACGCUUGAAUGCAUUAGCAUGGAAUAAUAAAAUAGGACUUUGGUUCUAUUUUGUUGGUUUCUAGGACCAAAGUA
rnacentral:rRNA from 1 species